UUUUUUCAUUUUCAUUUUCCUUGAUCUUCGAGACUGGUUUUUUGCUUGUCUCCUCCUUUUUUUGAGAUUUUCAAACUUUUUUUUUUCGAAAUUGCACCUAAACAUAUAAAAGAAAGGAGACUAUAUAAUACUGAAAUUACUCAAUUUAACAACUUUAUUAACUCCUAGACUCGACCGAGUUACAUGCUACUAAUGUAUAAAUGAUCAAAUGAAGGAUUCAAAGAAAGGGGAUACGAUAUUAUGGGGUUAUGAAAAAGCCUUUUUG
rnacentral:lncRNA from 1 species